rnacentral:rRNA from 1 species
UACGUAGGGUGCAAGCGUUGUCCGGAAUUAUUGGGCGUAAAGAGCUAGUAGGCGGUUUGUCGCGUCUGCUGUGAAAACCCGAGGCUCAACCUCGGGCCUGCAGUGGGUACGGGCAGACUAGAGUGCGGUAGGGAGAUUGGAAUUCCUGGUGUAGCGGUGGAAUGCGCAGAUAUCAGGAGGAACACCAAUGGCGAAGGCAGAUCUCUGGGCCGUAACUGACGCUGGAGGCGACGACAGCGUGGGGAGCAAACAGG